rnacentral:rRNA from 1 species
AAAAGAACUCUGAAUAGAGAGUUAAAUAGUACGUGAAACUGCUUUGAGGUUAAACCCGAUGAACCUGAAUAUCCAAUAUAAAGAAUUCAUCAUUAAUAUAUUAAUUAUUAUUAAUAUAAUGUUGUGCAUUUUCUUUAUAUAAAUUGGACAUUGUAAUCUAUUAAUAUAUAAAUUAUUUAUCAUAAGAUCAUAAGCAUAUGUUUAUUUUUAUUAAUUUAGUUUCGGCUAUUUUAUAAAAUAAUUGCUAUUGAUUUGAUAAAGUAUUGAUAGAUUAAAUCAUAUGUAUAAUGCUUAAAUUCAUUUAUGAAUUUUAUAAUAUAGCAAUAUAUUAUAAGCAUUUAUACGAUUUACAAUGCGAAAGAUUCAGGAUACCUUCGGGAC